UUUAAAUAAGUAAGAGUUUGUGGUGGAUGCCUUGGGUCUGGAAGUCGAUGAAGGACGUGAUUACCUGCGAAAAGCCUCGUGGAGCUGGAUAUACGUUACGAUACGGGGAUGUCCGAAUGGGGAAACCUAGUUAGAGGAAAGUCUAACUGCUUAGCGAUGAAUCUAUAGUCGCUAUAGACGAGAGACGUUGUGAACUGAAACAUCUUAGUAGCAACAGGAAAAGAAAAUAAAUAAUGAUUCCAUCAGUAGCGGCGAGCGAAAGUGGAACAGCCCAAACCAACAUAUGUUGGGGUUGUAGGACUAUCUACAUGAAGUUACAAAAUUUUGUUAUAGCAAAAUUAGUUGGGAAACUAAAGCAUAGAGGGUGAUACUCCCGUAUGCGAAAUGGCAAAAUCUUCUGAUAGCAUCCUGAGUAGGGCGGGGCACGUGAAACCCUGUCUGAACCAGCCGGGACCAUCCGGUAAGGCUAAAUACUAACCAGACACCGAUAGUGAACUAGUA
rnacentral:rRNA from 2 species